rnacentral:rRNA from 1 species
AUUGAACGCUGGCGGCAGGCCUAACACAUGCAAGUCGAACGAGUGGCGGACGGGUGAGUAAUGUCUGGGAACCUCCCUGAUGGAGGGGGAUAACUACUGGAAACGGUAGCUAAUACCGCAUACCAUCAGAUGUGCCCAGAUGGGCUUAGCUAGUGGGUGGGGUAAGCGCUCACCAAGGCGACGAUCCCUAGCUGGUCUGAGAGGAUGACCGGCCGCACUGGAGCGGAGACAGGGUCCAGAGUCCUGCGGGAGGCAGCAGAGGGGAAUAUUGCGCAAUAGGCGCGAGCCUGAUGCAGCCAGGGCGCGUGUAUGAAGGAGGCGUUCGGGUGGUAAAGUACUUUCAGCGGGGGGGCGUUACCCGCAGAAGAAGCACCGGCUAACUCCGUGCCAGCAGCCGCGGUAAUAC